GCGUCGGUGGCACAGUGGUUAGCACGCUCGCCAGCCAAGCAUAUGGUCCUGGGUUCGAGUCCCGGUCGACGCA
rfam:Trichobilharzia regenti genome assembly, scaffold: TRE_scaffold0048785